rnacentral:rRNA from 1 species
AAUAGAUACCCAGGUAGUCCAUGCCGUAAACGAUGUCUACUAGCCGUUGGGGCCCUUGAGGCUUUAGUGGCGCAGCUAACGCGAUAAGUAGACCGCCUGGGGAGUACGGUCGCAAGACUAAAACUCAAAUGAAUUGACGGGGGCCCGCACAAGCGGUGGAGCAUGUGGUUUAAUUCGAUGCAACGCGAAGAACCUUACCUGGCCUUGACAUACAGAGAACUUUCCAGAGAUGGAUUGGUGCCUUCGGGAACUCUGAUACAGGUGCUGCAUGGCUGUCGUCAGCUCGUGUCGUGAGAUGUUGGGUUAAGUCCCGCAACGAGCGCAACCCUUUUCCUUAUUUGCCAGCACUUCGGGUGGGAACUUUAAGGAUACUGCCAGUGACAAACUGGAGGAAGGCGGGGACGACGUCAAGUCAUCAUGGCCCUUACGGCCAGGGCUACACACGUGCUACAAUGGUCGGUACAAAGGGUUGCUACUGCGCGAGCAGAUGCUAAUCUCAAAAAGCCGAUCGUAGUCCGGAUCGC